rnacentral:tRNA from 2 species
CGGUGCAUAGCUCAGAGGCAGAGCAGCUGGCUCUUAACCAGCGGGACGGGAUUUCGAAAUUCCCUGCAUCGACCA